CUUGUUCACGUUUGACACAUCCAAGAAAUGGUUCGGUCUCUCCAGGAGAUGACAACUUCGAAACGAUUAGAAACUACGUUUGUAACGACGGAUUCAAAUUGGUUGGUUUUGCUAUAACUACAUGUCGCUUUAAUGGAAUGUGGUCUUCACCUCAACCAACUUGCCAACUCAUCACAUGUCCAGCUACUCUGUCAAUUGCUAAUGGUUACUUCAACACCACACGUUCUAGUUUUACGAUUGGAGGCACAGCAAACACAAUAUGCCUUCCAGGAUAUCAGCGAACAGGAGCAGCAGCAAUCACCUGUGACAGUAGUGGACAAUGGCCUACUUGGGAUUCUCUUCCAUCAUGCAAAUUGAUAUCCUGUGCUUUACCCAGCCCACCUUCCCAUGGUUUAAUUGUCAGCAGUUCUACUUCUCCUAAUGGUGUGACCGUCUUUGCCUGCAAUAAAGGCUAUAAACUGAUGGGCAGCAGUGUCAUUGUAUGUUUGACGAAAGGAAAUUUAUCAAACCCAGC